UACGAAGGGUGCAAGCGUUAAUCGGAAUUACUGGGCGUAAAGGGUGCGUAGGCGGUUGUUUUAAGUCUGCCGUGAAAUCCCCGGGCUCAACCUGGGAAUGGCGGUGGAUACUGGAUAGCUAGAGUGUGUCAGAGGAUGGUGGAAUUCCCGGUGUAGCGGUGAAAAUGCGUAGAGAUCGGGAGGAACACCAGUGGCGAAGGCGGCCAUCUGGAUCAACACUGACGCUGAGGCACGAAAGCGUGGGGAGCAAACGGG
rnacentral:rRNA from 1 species